rnacentral:tRNA from 1 species
GCCUGGGUGGCUUAGUUGGUUAAGCUUCCGACUUCGGCUCAGGUCAUGAUCUCAUGGUUUGUAAGUUCGAGCCUCACUCUGGGCU